rnacentral:piRNA from 1 species
UCAAAGUAGUGAGAACUAGUCUGUAUAAA